rnacentral:rRNA from 1 species
UCCUACGGGGGGCAGCAGUGGGGAAUAUUGGACAAUGGGGGGAACCCUGAUCCAGCGACGCCGCGUGAGUGAAGAAGUAUUUCGGUACGUAAAGCUCUAUCAGCAGGAAAGAAAAUGACGGUACCUGACUAAGAAGCCCCGGCUAACUACGUGCCAGCAGCCGCGGUAAUACGUAGGGGGCAAGCGUUAUCCGGAUUUAUUGGGUUUAAAGGGUGCGCAGGCGGAGGUGCAAGUCAGCGGUCAAAUUGCGGGGCUCAACCCCGUACUGCCGUUGAAACUGCAUCCCUUGAGUGCGCGAGAAGUAU